UGGUGUUGCAGGUUCUUUAGGAUUUGGCCUCUUAAAGUUCCAGGUUUGCGACAGGAUUUAUAAUUUUGAAUUGGAUUGCACUCUCUUCAGAAUCUGUGGAGCUUUUACGUGCCAAUCAAAGUUUGAUCCACAAGUAACUAAGAAUUCAGUUGUUAAUACAUCAAGUAAUUUACCUGUAAGUACUUUCUUUCACCUUGGACUCUUUAAUCCCUUAUCUCAGCCAUAACUGAUUGGGACCUUGGCCUUGUGAACCCAAUAAAGUUCUCUUUCUUGUGAGACUAUUUUAGUGUACCAAAAUCGUAACCAAGUAGCUAGAGGGCCUACAGUCCUUGUUUAUGGGCUAUUUUCUGUUUUAAUAUAUACUUGAAAACCAGUUAUGUAUUUCGGCAUUGUGCUGAGUGUGAAUCCAAAUUAAUUGAGUACGUUAAAUUUUAUAUUGUUUAUUUUCUGAAGUUGAUUCGUUGGUUUGGGAUGUGAUAUGGUUGUUUCCCUUAUGAUUUUUGUUCUCCAUUCCCGUGGUAAUGAUCAAGAUAGUUCUGUUUUCCCCGGUAUAUUUAAGUAUUGUGAAUUUGGACAAGGGAAAACAAAAUUGUUUCGUGGCAGGACAAGAUGAAUCUAAAAGUUGAAUUUUUCUUUAAAUAAAAUUUAUUCUAAAUACUUCGUGAUGCAGAAAAUGAAUGGACUUAGUUUCCAGAUGUGUUCAUGUUUAACAUCAAAAUAUUCACAGAUAGCUUUGAGAUCUGUUUUUUUUCCUAAUUUGAUACUUUAUCUCACCUGAUAUUGUUAUUCUAAAUGGUUAAAAUAUGAUAAAUUGGUAAUAUACUUUAAAAAUGUUUUUAGUGAUUGUUCUAACAAAUAAAUCUUAGGGUCUUCAUUCAUUUUUUUUUAUUGAUUUUGGUUUUGAAAGUCAUAUUUAAGACUUUUUUUUUUACUUUGUUAAUUUCUUUACUAAAGGUUAAGAUUUUGAUUUUUUUUCUAUUUUAUUUUCCAUGUCUAUUGAUUUAUUUUUUCUAUUAUUUUGUUGAUUUUAUUAAUUUUAUCUUAAUUUAAUGAUAUAGGAUCAUGAUUUCUUGAAUUAGGGUUUAUUAAUUUACUUCUAAAUUUGUUUCCAUAUUAUUAUUUUACCUAUUUGUCAUUACUUGAUUAUGAUAGAACUCGAUCCACAUAAUAUUUUCAUUCCGUAAUACACUGUAAUGAUAGAUUGAUUCCUACUUAUCAGUACAUAGUCUUCUAGUCUUAAACCCUAAAAUUAUUAGGAUUCAUCAGAACUUUACUACAAUAAUAUAUUAAAAAUAAUAUUACUUUGAGUACUUUUGAAUUCCCUCUAUAUGUUCGUGUAUUUUCUGGAUCAAGUACUCACUUACUAAUAAUUUUAUAUUUGAUGUUUCAGGAAGGCAAAGUAUUGGACCAAGUGCCAUAACAAACUCAUUUAACAACGAGAGUGAAGGCAGA
rnacentral:lncRNA from 1 species